UACGUAGGGUGCAGGCGUUAAUCGGAAUUACUGGCGUAAAGCGUGCGCAGGCGGUUUGCUAAGACAGGUGUGAAAUCCCCGGGCUUAACCUGGGAACUGCGCUUGUAACUGGCAAGCUGGAGUGUGGCAGAGGGGGGUGGAAUUCCGACGUGUAGCAGUGAAAUGCGUAGAGAUGUGGAAGGAACACCGAUGGCGAAGGCAGCCCCCUGGGCUAACACUGACGCUCAUGCACGAAAGCGUGGGGAGCAAACAGG
rnacentral:rRNA from 1 species